rnacentral:rRNA from 1 species
UACGAAGGGGGCUAGCGUUGCUCGGAAUUACUGGGCGUAAAGGGCGCGUAGGCGGCUCUGUAAGUCAGGCGUGAAAUUCCUGGGCUUAACCUGGGGGCUGCGCUUGAGACUGCGGGGCUUGAGGUCAGAAGAGGGUCGUGGAAUUCCCAGUGUAGAGGUGAAAUUCGUAGAUAUUGGGAAGAACACCGGUGGCGAAGGCGGCGACCUGGUCUGAUACUGACGCUGAGGCGCGACAGCGUGGGGAGCAAACAGG